UACGUAGGGUGCGAGCGUUUGUCCGGAAUUAUUGGGCGUAAAGAGCUCGUAGGCGGUGUGUCGCGGUCGGCCGUGAAAACCUGCAGCUUAACUGUGGGCUUGCGGUCGAUACGGGCAUCACUGGAGUUCGGCAGGGGAGACUGGAAUUCCUGGUGUAGCGGUGGAAUGCGCAGAUAUCAGGAGGAACACCGGUGGGCGAAGGCGGGUC
rnacentral:rRNA from 1 species